rnacentral:lncRNA from 1 species
CUGGUGUGGAGGUACUCACUCUGGCAGUCUCACCAGCACAACGAGAAGGCAGCAGAAUUGAGAGAGAGCCACAGCCAGCUCCUCCUUUUCGCAUGGGGCAGCUCUGACAAAAGAAAAAGCCAGUCCAGAGCUGACAAGGCAGCAGGAUUUUUUUCAUGUUCCCUGCAGGUGUGGAGCAGUCUUUGUUGGUGAUGGUGUAUGCAGUAUGUGACUGCACAGGAACUGACUCCUCAGGCUUUCUGAAGGAACUGGAAUUAAAUUAGACUCUUCUCAGCCAAACCAGUUCCUUCACCCAGUUCAAAAUACAACCAUGGCCACAUUACAGAAAAAGUUGUAUGGAUGUGGAGACAAACAGCAGAAGUCAGGAUGCCUCUCAUUAGCCAUCGGGGCUGCCAAAAGGUGAGAAGGUGACAAGAAUGAAAUGCACAAAAUGCAUGUGUAGGAG